rnacentral:rRNA from 1 species
ACAGUGGCGAAAGGGUGAGUAACACGUGAGCAACCUGCCCCGAGAUUGGGAUAGCCCGCGGAAACGCGGAGUAAUACCAGAUGUGAAGAUCGUGGCCGCAUGGCCGUUUUCUUCAAAGUUUUUCGCUCGGGGAUGGGCUCGCGCCCCAUUAGCUUGUUGGUGAGGUAACGGCUCACCAAGGCUACGACGGGUAGGUGGUCUGAGAGGACGAUCACCCACACCGGGACUGAGACACUGCCCGG